GACGAACGCUGGCGGCGUGCUUAACACAUGCAAGUCGAACGGAAAGGCCCUGCUUUUGUGGGGUGCUCGAGUGGCGAACGGGUGAGUAACACGUGAGUAACCUGCCCUUGACUUUGGGAUAACUUCAGGAAACUGGGGCUAAUACCGGAUAGGAGCUCCUGCUGCAUGGUGGGGGUUGGAAAGUUUCGGCGGUUGGGGAUGGACUCGCGGCUUAUCAGCUUGUUGGUGGGGUAGUGGCUUACCAAGGCUUUGACGGGUAGCCGGCCUGAGAGGGUGACCGGCCACAUUGGGACUGAGAUACGGACCAGACUCCUACGGGAGGCAGCAGUGGGGAAUAUUGCACAAUGGGCGGAAGCCUGAUGCAGCAACGCCGCGUGCGGGAUGACGGCCUUCGGGUUGUAAACCGCUUUCGCCUGAGACGAAGCGUGAGUGACGGUAAUGGGUAAAGAAGCACCGGCUAACUACGUG
rnacentral:rRNA from 1 species